AACGAACGCUGGCGGCGCGCCUAAUACAUGCAAGUCGAGCGAGAAGACGUAGCAAUACGUUUGUAAAGCGGCGAACGGGUGAGGAAUACAUGGGUAACCUACCCUCGAGUGGGGAAUAACUAGCCGAAAGGUUAGCUAAUACCGCGUACGCUCCUUGGACUUCGGUUCAGGGAGGAAAGCGAUACCGUGGGUAUCGCGCUCUUGGAUGGGCUCAUGUCCUAUCAGCUUGUUGGUGAGGAACGGCUCACCAAGGCUUCGACGGGUAGCUGGUCUGAGAGGACAAUCAGCCACACUGGCACUGCGACACGGGCCAGACUCCUACGGGAGGCAGCAGUAAGGAAUAUUGCGCAAUGGGCGAAAGCCUGACGCAGCGACGCCGCGGUGGGGGA
rnacentral:rRNA from 1 species